rnacentral:rRNA from 1 species
UACCCUGGUAGUCCACGCUGUAAACGAUGAGUACUAGGUGUCGGGGGUUACCCCCUUCGGUGCCGCAGCUAACGCAUUAAGUACGCCGCCUGGGAAGUACGCUCGCAAGAGUGAAACUCAAAGGAAUGGACGGGGACCCGAACAAGUAGCGGAGCAUGUGGUUUAAUUCGAAGCAACGCGAAGAACCUUACCUAAGCUUGACAUCCCAAUGACAUCUCCUUAAUCGGAGAGUUCCCUUCGGGGACAUUGGUGACA